AUCUAGAGUGUUCAAGAGCAUGGAAACCGAAAUUACAAGAAAAAAAAAAGAAGAGAAGAGAAGAGAAAUUAAGGUAGAAAGAAGGAAAGAGCUACGGUUUUGGGAGGAGAAAAAGGAUUUGAGUCAGCCCAAAACGUUACCAAACAGCCAAUAAGUUUCAGCUGCGCUAAAGGAAAUUCCGAGGCAAGUUUUGGCGAGUUUUGGUGAAUUUCGGGAAAGGUUCAAGAGACGACGAGGCGAGCAUAGUUAAGAGUAAUCCGUAAGAGGUACGUAAAGCGAACCUUUCUUUCUUUUGGCAUGUUUUUGACAUAAGUAUGUAAAGCAUAUUCUUUUGAUUUUCAUGUUUUGACAUAAAUAUGUAAAGCUAAUCUUUGUUUUGGUAUGGUAUUUAUGAAACAAAAAUAUGACUUUUAUAUAAUUUCAAAGAGGUUCCUAUUCCUAGAGCCAUUAGGAUAGCCAAUUCCUUGAUUUCCAAAAGGUAUUUUAUUAUGCUUCGAUACGUCUAUAUGAUUCCAGAAGAUUUAUUCUGAUAUAAUCCAGGGUAACUUUCGAAAGGUACUUGACAUGAGUCUCGUCUCGAUUUUUAAAUGAUAGCUCAUUCUGAUUAUUCCAUUGAGUCUUAAAUAUGAUUUAAAUUGCAUAUAGUUUCUCACUACUCCACUCGUGGAUGCCUCAAUGCUUCCUUCACUGAGCCUGGGCCAGAAUAUGUUAUCGUGCAUACUUCUCUGCAUUGUUCGCCGUAUCCCGACGUGAGGGGGCAGGUAUGACAUGUACAUGGGGUGGUAAAUGUUAUGCCACGGAGUUAUGAUGUGCCAUGUACAUAUAUGUUUGUGAUAUGAUAUGAUAUGAUAUGAUUUGAUAUGGCCAUCUGAUAUGAUAUGAUUUGUUACGGAGAUAUUUCCUACUCUGGUGUUAUGCUGUGCCGUGGCGUCGAUGAUGGGAGGGCGACCACACUUUGUUCACCGAGUCCCAUAAUGGGGCCGGAUAUGGCAUAUGUUUUUCUGCAUACAUUAUCUGAGGUUUUGAUCAGCAUUUGAUAUCUCCGGACAUUUUGCUCAGUUUUGUACAUUCUAUUGCGGUAAUGACUUUACUUAUUACAACCCAUUAUAUGUGGUUUGAUAAGCAUUUGAUAUUUCUGAAUAUUUUGCUCAUUUUUGCACUUUCUGCUCUAGAAAUAACUUUACUGAUUUCAGUCCAUGCUUUACAUACUCAGUACAUUUUCCGUACUGACCCCCUUUCUUCGGGGGCUGCGUUACAUGCCCGUAGGUACAGAUGAUUGGUUUGCUGAUCCGCUCGCUUAGGAUAUCCACCAUGUUGGUCGACAGUGCUCCUUUGUUCGGAGUCCUAUUUUGGUACUGACACUUUCUUUUGUAUAUAUAUAUAUGUUGUUCAGGGUACGGCGGGGCCCUGUCCCGUCAUAUGACUAGGAUAUCAUUCUGUAGAGGUCUGUAGACAUGAGAUUUGGGUUUUGUAUAUAUGUUUUGGGUUUUGUUUUAUGUUUCA